CUUUCGAUAACAUUGAUAAUCAGGUUCACUGGAACAUUCUGGGACGCUAUGGUAUUCCACAAAAGAUCAUCAAAAUGAUAAAACUGCUAUACAACCAAUUUUUCUGUCAAGUUGUUCACUGUGGAACUAUGACCGAGCCAUUCCCAGUUACAACUGGGAUACGUCAAAGUUGUCUUAUCUCUCCGCUCCUUUUCCUAAUAGUAGUUGACUGGGUUGGUAAAUCAGCCUACAAAGAUUCGAAAGGCACUGGAUGGACAAACAACACGUCUUGAAAACAUAGAAUUUGCUGAUGACAUUUGUAUACUAUCCCAUCGCUUCCAAGAUUCACAACAUCAGAUCAAAAGUCUUGAAACAUUAGCAAAACAAACAGGCACAUACAUCAACACACAGAAAACUAAAUCAAUGAGGCUAAAUACAAACCAGAAAGAUGUUCUUAAGAUCGACGACUACAGUUGAAGAUGUACAACAAUUCACUUACCUUGGAAGUAUUGUCAGUAAACCAGGAGCCACAUUCGAAGCACAGCAGGUAUUUUCAAUGCUUAAACCUGUUUGGAGGAGUACUGCUUUAAGAGCUAGCACACAGUUGAUGAUAUUUACCACCAAUGUCAAAUUUGUACUCUUAUACGGAUCAGAAACCUGAAGAGAAACAGUUGUAUAUAUCCAAACUUUUGUCAAUAAAUGAAUGUUUGAGAAACAUACUCAACAUCAGAUGGCCAAACAAAAUAUCCAACAAAGAGUUAUGGAAAAGAACCAAACAACAGCCAACAACACAGAUAAUAAGAAAAAGAAAGUGGAAGUGGAUCGGACAUACCCUAAAAAAGACAAACAUCACCAAGCAAACCCUAGAAUGGAACUUCCAAGGACAUCGAAAAAGGGGGAGGCCAAAACCCACCUGGCGCAGGGGACUAACAAUCGAGCUGACCACAAUUGGGAAAACCUAGAAAGAAACAAAAAUAGUAGCCAUGAACAGAAAGAAAUGAAGAUAAACUGUAGUUGUCCUAUGUCCCCCUUGGGACGAAGUGGAUUAGGUCAAGUAAGUCAAAUUUAUAAAAAUGACUAUAUACAUGUUAAUAGGGGUUUUAAUUUUCUAACAAAUCUGCUAGCUAGGAUUUGUAUAUCAGAUUUUUGUUAGGAAAGAUUUAUGAUUGAAUGCAGACAAACAGAUAGUCAUUAGUAAUAACAUUAAUUGUACCAAUUUAACAGCACCAGAUGGCAUUAUAACAAUAAGUGUAUCUUCAGUGAUGCUUGAGGUGAAUAUUUUUAAAAAAACCUAAACUUAUAUACACGAGAGCUGAUAAAAACUGACAUUUCCUUAAAGGUCAAAUGUAAAAAAUAUUAUUAAAUAUGAAUAAACUCAUCAUAGAUACCAGGACAAAAUUUAGUAUAUACGCCAG
rnacentral:lncRNA from 1 species